UGCUGCCUCAGUGCAGUUGAUGCUGAAGAGACCUGUGGACCAAGAAGAGACCUGUGGGUGUGAGAGACAGAUGCCGGGCCCUACAGUGCUGUGCACUGAGUCAAGCCUUGUGUGAUAUACUGUAUGUUUCCACCACCUUUGUCAAGAGGCAAAACUAUGUGGGAAGUGGCAUAUCUCCCUCAUGGUUGGUGUGUGUCAGACAACAGAGAGAGACAGGAAAGGCAGGGGAGAGAGCGGGAAUGACACGAAGCAAAGGGCCUGGUCCGGACCUGAGCCUGGGCCACCGCGGCAAGGACCCAGCCCUGACAAUGGCACGCACUCCACCAGAAUUGUCACGGACACGCCAGGCUCCACGAUCACCCAAUCACAGCCCUCACCAGAGUUCUAACCACACACCUGUUCCCUAUCACACACACCUGCUCCCCAUCAGCACUUCAUCACCACCAGUAUAAAGGCACCCUACUCACGUCAGCCAGUUGUCUGGUCCUGUUAAUGAAAAGGACUCUUCCCCAUCGAUGACAACACCUGUUGAGGUCCUUCUCGUUCCUACGCCAGCGUGUACUCCCACUCCAGUGAUCCUUCUACCCAUCAUGUGUUUCCCUGUCUCUACAAGGACAGUAGCGGUAUUCCACUCGGUUCUCCAUUCUGCUCCAUCACCUCUCCUACCUGCCUUCUAGUACUCAUUGCUGUGUUCAAUAAAACAACAUCUGUCUCCA